CGGCCGCGCUGCCAGGCUUAGGUGCCCUGCCCCGCGCCCCGCGCCCUGCCGGGGUCCCUACUCGGGACCCUGGCUCUUCCUGGCCCUGGAAAGGUCCUUCUACUCAGGCCCUGUUCUCAUGCAGUUCACUGUCCACGGAGAGAGAGGUGCGAAGAGGGACUGUCACAUGUCAAGACAACAUUGUCCGGAGCAGAGGACAGAAGCUUUAUUCUGUCCCAGCACAACUUCUCAAAGGACAAGUGACAGUGGAGACAGUAUAAGGCCAGCGACCAUCCUGUCUCCAGCGUGUAUUUGCCCUCAGAAUUCUGAGCUCACCGCCCUUUAAAGGCAUCGUCUAAGAGGGGCUCAUGGCUUGUGAUCCCAGCUCCUCGGGA
rnacentral:lncRNA from 1 species